rnacentral:rRNA from 1 species
UACGAAGGGGGCUAGCGUUGUUCGGAAUUACUGGGCGUAAAGCGUGCGCAGGCGGCUUCUCAAGUCAGGGGUGAAAGCCCAGAGCUCAACUCUGGAAUUGCCUUUGAGACUGAGAGGCUUGAGUCCGGGAGAGGUGAGUGGAACUGCGAGUGUAGAGGUGAAAUUCGUAGAUAUUCGCAAGAACACCAGUGGCGAAGGCGGCUCACUGGUCCGGUACUGACGCUGAGGUGCGAAAGCGUGGGGAGCAAACAGG